AAGAACCCUCUCAAUACUUCCCAUCAGCAGGCACGUUUCCUGAAAAACAGGGCUCACCACAUAGAACUUUUCCUUGGGAGGACAAAUGCCGUAAUCCUGAACAACGCCCUCCUCCCCUUUACCCCAGAUUUUAUUACUGAGCUUGACAUUAUGCAGUAUGGGAUAUCUGUUUGGAGUCAUCUGUUCUGCUGUGUCCCUGGCAGCUUCUUGCUGGUGGGGCAUUGUGAUGUACAGAGAACACCUGGACACUGUCUAGCACUGCUCAGCAACAGGGAAACCAUCAGUGAGUUACCUGCACUGCUUUGGUCACAGAUCCAAAGCAUAGCACUACACAGCUAUUCUACGUGUGCCCACGAGGAGAUCCUUAAUGCGUGUGUCUGUGUAAAAUCAUCCUGGAAAGGAAAUAUCUUACUUUGGCUUGCUUCUGUUUCAUGAGAAGAAGAGGAAGCGAGCCUAUAAUUACCUCAGGCUGCAUUUAGGCAGAAGCACAAGCCCUCAGGAAGAAAGUCCCUUUCCAACUAAAGACAUCUAGAUUCUGCUUCCUGCAUGCCUUGUCUCAAUGUGCUUGCUAAGCUGUGUAUACCUCAAAUGUACUUCAGAACUGGGCAUUAAUAUAUGACAGUCAUGAGACCUGAAAUCUCCACCACCAAACCAUGGCCUUGACUGGCCCUUCUCUUUUCUCUACUUUUUUUUCUUUUUAAAUUAAAAUCCUU